AUUGAACGCUGGCGGCAGGCCUAACACAUGCAAGUCGCACGAGUGGCGGACGGGUGAGUAAUGUCUGGGAAACUGACCGAUGGAGGGGGCUAACUACUGGAAACGGUAGCUAAUACCGCAUACCAUCGGAUGUGCCCAGAUGGGCUUAGCUAGUAGGUGGGGUAAUGGCUCACCUAGGCGACGAUCCCUCGCUGGGCUGAGAGGAUGACCAGCCCCACUGGAACUGAGACACGGCCCAGACUCCUACGGUAGGUAGCAGUGGUGAAUAUUGCACAAUGGGCGCAAGCCUGAUGCAGCCAUGCCGCGUGUAUGAAGAAGGCCUUCGGGUUGGAAAGUACUUUCAGCGAGGAGGCGUUACUCGCAGAAGAAGCACCGGCUAACUCCGUGCCAGCAGCCGCGGUAAUUC
rnacentral:rRNA from 1 species